GACGAACGCUGGCGGCGUGCCUAAUACAUGCGAGUUGAGCGCUGAAGGUUGGUACUUGUACCAACUGGAUGAGCAGCGAACGGGUGAGUAACGCGUGGGGAAUCUGCCUUUGAGCGGGGGACAACAUUUGGAAACGAAUGCUAAUACCGCAUAAAAACUUUAAAAACAAGUUUUAAGUUUGAAAGAUGCAAUUGCAUCACUCAAAGAUGAUCCCGCGUUGUAUUAGCUAGUUGGUGAGGUAAAGGCUCACCAAGGCGAUGAUACAUAGCCGACCUGAGAGGGUGAUCGGCCACAUUGGGACUGAGACACGGCCCAAACUCCUACGGGAGGCAGCAGUAGGGAAUCUUCGGCAAUGGACGAAAGUCUGACCGAGCAACGCCGCGUGAGUGAAGAAGGUUUUCGGAUCGUAAAACUCUGUUGGUAGAGAAGAACGUUGGUGAGAGUGGAAAGCUCAUCAAGUGACGGUAACUACCCAGAAAGGGACGGCUAACUACGUG
rnacentral:rRNA from 1 species